GAUGAAGAACGUAGCGAAAUGCGAUAAGUAAUGUGAAUUGCAGAAUUCAGUGAAUCAUCGAAUCUUUGAACGCACCUUGCACCCUUUGGCAUUCCGAAGGGUAUGCUCGUUUGAGUGUCAUUGUACUCUCACUCUCCCGAUGCUUUUGGAUCGGGAGUGGUGGACUUGGGUGUUGCUGCUUUGCUGUGGCUCGCCUCAAAUGGAGUAGUGCAACUCUUGGUUGGACAUAGUACCGCGUGAUAAGUGUCUUCGCCGGCGCCUCAUUAUAGAGGGUGGCCGAUCGGGAGCUCUGUGCUUCAAACCGUCUUCGGACAACAUCUGACAACUUGACCUCAAAUCGAGUAGGACUACCCGCUGAACUUAAGCAUAUCAAUAAGCGGAGGA
rnacentral:misc_RNA from 1 species